GACGAACGCUGGCGGCGUGCUUUACACAUGCAAGUCGAACGGUGAAGGUGGAGCUUGCUCCGCCGGAUCAGUGGCGAACGGGUGAGUAACACGUGGGCAACCUGCCCCUAACUUUGGGAUAACUACUCGAAAGAGUAGCUAAUACCGGAUAUGAAGUCUGUAGGCAUCUAUGGAUUUGGAAAGUUUUUCGGUUAGGGAGGGGCCAGCGGCCUAUCAGCUUGUUGGUGAGGUAGUGGCUCACCAAGGCGACGAGGGGUAGCCGGCCUGAGAGGGUGACCGGCCACACUGGGACUGAGACACGGCCCAGACUCCUACGGGAGGCAGCAGUGGGGAAUAUUGCACAAUGGGCGCAAGCCUGAUGCAGCAACGCCGCGUGAGGGAUGACGGCCUUCGGGUUGUAAACCUCUUUUAGUAGGGAAGAAGCGAAAGUGACGGUACCUGCAGAAAAAGCACCGGCUAACUACGUGCCAGCCGCCGCGGUAA
rnacentral:rRNA from 1 species